AUUGAACGCUGGCGGCAUGCUUUACACAUGCAAGUCGAACGGCAGCGCGGGGGCAACCCUGGCGGCGAGUGGCGAACGGGUGAGUAAUGUAUCGGAACGUACCUUUCAGUGGGGGAUAACGUAGCGAAAGUUACGCUAAUACCGCAUAUUCUGUGAGCAGGAAAGCAGGGGAUCGCAAGACCUUGCGCUGAUUGAGCGGCCGAUAUCAGAUUAGCUAGUUGGUGAGGUAAAGGCUCACCAAGGCGACGAUCUGUAGCGGGUCUGAGAGGAUGAUCCGCCACACUGGGACUGAGACACGGCCCAGACUCCUACGGGAGGCAGCAGUGGGGAAUUUUGGACAAUGGGCGCAAGCCUGAUCCAGCCAUGCCGCGUGAGUGAAGAAGGCCUUCGGGUUGUAAAGCUCUUUCGGUUGGGAAGAAUUGCUUCGGUUAAUACCCGGAGUAGAUGACGGUACCAGCAUAAGAAGCACCGGCUAACUACGUGCC
rnacentral:rRNA from 1 species